rnacentral:lncRNA from 1 species
AUGGCAACCCAGUAGCUGGAGUCUGAAGAUGGAGACCAACGAGUCUACGGAGGGAUCGCGGUCGCGGUCGCGAUCUUUAGACAUACAGCCCAGCUCCGAAGGACUGGGGCCCACUUCGGAACCGUUUCCUUCUUCAGAUGACAGUCCCAGAGAGCCACCAACCACCUGGAUCAAGUCCCAAGCAUGCAGGAUGGCUCUGAGAGUUUUUUCUUCCGACACGGACACCGGGGACUGCUGACUAUGCAACUAAAGUCACCCAUGCCCUCCAGCACCACCCAGAAAGACUCGUACCAGCCACCAGGAAACGUCUAUUGGCCACUUCGAGGGAAGCGUGAAGCCAUGCUGGAGAUGCUCCUGCAGCAUCAGAUCUGGUAAGGGAUUGGGUAAAGGGGAAGAGGGAUGGGGAGGAGAAAAAUUGGGUGAGAAUGGCCUUGACACCCCUCGGGCUACAUAGUAAAGAGGUGCAGGCAGAACAGGAACCCACAAGGAAGCUCUUCGAGGUUGAGUCUGUGACACACCAUGACUACCGAAUGGAGCUGGCACAAGCAGGGACUCCUGCCCCAACAAAGGUGAGAACCCACCCCCCAUCCCCCGCCACUUGCACCAGCUGGGCUCUGACAGGCUGUGGCCAAGUACCAAGCCCAGAGGUUGAGAGAGAGGGCUGAAGGCCAGGAGUUACUCAGUACCCUCCCUCACAGCCUCACGACUACCGCCAGGAGCAACCUGAGACCUUCUGGAUACAGAGGGCACCA